rnacentral:lncRNA from 1 species
UGAUGAUGGAGGGGUUAUUUAUAGAAAUGGGGAAGUCACAGAGAGAAGGUGCCUUUGAGUCGGGGAGGGGACGGGAAGAAGAAGGAGGGAGUGGAUUUUUAUUUUGAACCUGGUGGUUGUCAGUGGUUUGCUGGACCUUCGGGGGGGCCAACAGUGAACAGCAGGGGCUCCCUGAUAAUCAACCCUAAAACCUUGUCUGGAACAUGUUCAGCUUCUUCCUUGCCCACCCUCCUCCCACCCCGCCAGGUGCUGAGCUCACCCUUUGUGAUUCUUGGCCUUACAUUCUGCACCUCCCAGUGGCACUGGAACCUUGGAUGCCCCGGGGAGCUGCAGGGCCCCAGUGACCAGCUGGUGCUGAGGGUCAGAGACUGCGACUGUGCAGGCCAUGUCUGCAGGUGCUCCCCUGUGCAAGGCCUCCAGGGGUGGGGGUGUCCCUCAGACCUUCAGGGAAGUUGCUGAUAAAGAAUUUCCUUAGAGGGGGUAAGUCCCCCUCCCAGACCCAGCAAGGCCUUCUCUCUGUUUCCCCGGAAAAACCUCUUCCAUCCUUCCGAAGCUCCAGGCCUUGUGGGUGUGACAGCGUGCCUGGAUCCAGAGGCAGCAGGGGAAGGGGGAGACAUUUUGGUUCAAGGGGCCAUGGCAAAGGCACUGCCUGGCAGAUGGAGGAGGGAGCUUCCUGCUGCUGGAGUGGCCGUCCUGGCUGAAAGCCCUUCUCCUUCAGUGGUCAGCUAACUACUCCUCCAUGAAGCCAUCCCUGAUUCCUACUCCAGCCCCCAAGGAAGAGCUGCAGGAAACAGAAAAUGCACUGCCUAGAUGGACCCUCUGACUCCCCACCACCCAGGCUGGAGCGGCAGAGGCUGCCAGGAAGAGCCAGAAAACAGGUGAACCCAAGGCCACUCCCUCCCCAGCCUGAGGUCACUGACCAGCUAAUACAGGCCAAGGCUGCUGGGAGGCCAGGAAUAUGGCCAUGAGGAGCACAGCACGAUGUUCCCUCUAUCACGUGUGCAUAUUCUAGUGGAGGAAGACUGACAGUAAGUAGGUAAAUAUAUGUACAUCAGGUGGUGGCAAGGGCUAUGGAAAAAAUGAGCAAGAGAGGGGCAUAGAAAGUGGUAGGAUGGAAGGGAGAUAGGGUGGGCAGGGAGGGCCAGAUAGAAUGCAGUUUGAGCCACUUAGAUCUCUGAAGGAAGGAAGAACAUUCCAGGGAUAGGGACCAGGAGGACACAGGUGCCAGGACAGGAGCAUACUGGGCAUUUUCAAGGACAGGAUGGAACCCAAUGUGGCUGGUGUGGAGUGAGAGGUGGGGAAGGGAUAGGAGCGGGAAUGUGGAGGGAAGAUGGCCUGGGGUCCUGUGGGCAUUAGCCGGGCUCACAGGGGAGCUCUUGGAGGGUUAUGAGCGAGAAGUGAGCUGCUCCGUGCAUUCCAAGGAUCCCUCUAGGAGACCUGAGAUACCUCCUUGCCCUGUUCUGCAGCUGCGCUGGCUGCAAGGUACAGAUUUGGCCCUCAGCUAAAUUGCAAGGAAGACAGAGGAAGAGAGAGGAAGGUUCCAUUCUCCUGUUUCUUGCCCAUUUCUCCUCAUCAGUGGAACCCUGCCUGUGCAUGGUCUUCUUUAUUUGCACACAGCUCCCUGCCCUCCCCAAUACCUUACCAAUGAUUUACGCUUUAGUAAAAUCAAGGCUAUGCAUUCCAUGACCCCUUCUCCAAAGUGAUGAAUUAUGUCUCCAGAAAAGAUAUGUUGAAGUCCUAACCCCCAACUACUGCAGAAUAUGACCUUAUUUGGAAAUACGGUCAUUGUAGAUGAAUUAGUUAAGAUGAAAUCACGCUGGAGUAGGAUGGGCCCUUAAUCCCAUAUGAAUGAUGUCCUUUUAAGAAGAUAAUGUGGGCCGGGUGUGGUGGCUCAUGCCUGUAAUCCCAGCACUUUGGGAGGCGGGUGGAUCACCUGAGGUCAGGAGUUCAAGACCAGCCUGGCCAACAUGAUGAAACCCCAUUUCCACUAAAAAUACAAAAAUUAUCUGAGCGUGGUGAUGGGCACCUGUAAUCCCAGCUACUCAGGAGGCUGAGGCAAGAGAAUCACUUGAACCCAGGAGGCAGAGGUUGCAGUGAGCUGAGAUGGCGCCACUGCACUCCAGUCUGGGUGACAGAGUGAAAAUCCCUCUCAAAAAAAAAAAAAAAAAAAAAAGCUGAUGUGAGAUACAAGGGAGGAAGGCCAUGUGAAUAUGGAGGUGGAGGUGGGAUUAGGCAGCUGCAUGCCAAGAACAAGGCCAAGGAUUGCUGGAAACCACUGUGAGCUGGAAGAGGCAGGGAAGGACUCUUCCCCAGAGCCUCCCGAGGGAGCGUGGCCCUGCUGACUCCUGGAUUUCAGGCUUCUGGCCUCCAGAAUAAUGAGAAAAUGAAUUUCUGUUGCUUUAAGCCACCUGGUUUGUGGUACUUUGUUAUGGCAGCCUUGGAAACGAGUCCCAGGGAUGUUUCUUAGGGUCUGAUUUCUAAUCAUAAAAUUUGAGAUUUUAUCCCAUUCAAAGAAAUAUCCGAAGUCUUAUUAGCCUACUAGUCAGCCUUUACCUGAGGACAAAAGUGCUUUGUUUUGGGGGAAUCCUGGGGCUGUAUGGGAAUUCCAAAGGGCACAUUUGGCUCAAUGGCCUGGAUGUCUUACCUUUGGGAAGCAGGGAGCUGGGAGGAGCCUAGCUGGACCCCUGCCGCUCUGCUGGAUGGGUUUGGCUCAGGGUGUGGAUAUUGGUUAGGUGUGGAUACAAAGGCUUGGUCCUUGCUGUGGCAGAGAAGGUUGAUAAAGGGGCCUGGGGAAAAUUAAAUUAGAUGCUGAACUUUGCCUUUUAUUCAUUUGCCUGAAGAUUAAGCUGUCCACAGGUUAAUCUGCAGGUCCGUUCACAGGCCAGGGACACAAAAUGAUCAAGACAGAGUCCCCUUCAAACAAACACCACACAUGUAUGUUCACUGUGGCAUCAUUCACAAUAGCAGAAGGUGCAGACAACCCAAAUGUCCCUCAGUGGAUGAAUGGAGAAACAAAACAUGGCACACCCACACAAUGGAAUGCUCUUCAGCCAUAGAUGGAAUGAAGUACUGCCCCACGCUACAGCAUGGACCAACCUCGAAGACAUCAUGCUGCGUGAAAGAAGUCAGCCAGAAAAGGCCAUAUACUGUAUGAUUCCUUUCAUGUAAUAUACCCAGAAUAGGCAAAGCCACAGAGACAGAAGGCAGAGUGGUGAUUGUCAGGGCUUGGAGGAGGGAGAAAUGGGGAGUGGCUGCUUAAUGGGUAUGGGUUUCCUUUAGGGUGGUGAAAGUGUUCUGGAACUAGGUAGUGGUGAUGGUUGUCUAACACUGGGAAUGUGCUAAAUGUCACUGAAUUGUGCAAUUGAAAGUGGUAAAUUUUAUGUAAUUUUACUACAAUUUUAAAAAAACAACAGAGUGAGAGAAGACAAUCAACAGAGAAAUAGAUAUUUAACAUAUACACUAUGAAGACCAAGAAGAUGGGCUAAGGAGGCAGAGAGUGAUGACGAGGGUGCUAUUUUAUGGGGUGGUCAAGGCUGGCCUUUCUGAGGAGGAUGUGUGGGGAGAGCCAGGCACAUGGCUGGGAGGAGACCCUUCCAGGAUGUGGAGGAGGAGCAGCAAAGGCCUGGGGCAGAAGUGAGAAGGAGUGCUGGGGAACCAGCAAGAGGCUACCGGGACUGCAGCUGCAGUGGGAGGGGGUGGUGAAGGGAUGGGGUGGGGGGGCAGCGGGCAGAAGAGGCCAAGUGCCUGCAACCACUGUCAGGGGUGGGAGCAGAGUAGUGGAGGGAGGGGCGAGUGUGGAAGCAGGAAUUCAGCCAGGAGGCCGUUGCAGACAGGGAUCUGUUUCUGAAGAUCCAUCAAGACCGGAGACUAAACACUUGCUUCUUGCUUUGGCUGUGCUGCUAUUAAUUAGAGCUCUGCAAACGGCCUCUCUCCUGUCCUCAAUUCCAGUGCUGCAGAGUCAUGAUUAAGCAGAUCUGUCACUAAGUGAGGAUUUUGUUGUGCUUUUUGAAUGCAGUGCCUAGGUAUGUUCAUUUAUUUUUCUUUCAAGUUUGUAUUGAACGACGUAUUAUAUCUCACAUGGUAUGUCUCCUGUGCCCCACUGCCUGGGGCUCCCUGUCCCUCUCCACUUGCUUUCUUUUUUCCCAUUGCACUUACUUAUCACUACCCAACACAUUGGACAUGCAUUUGGCAUGCUUGGUUUUAUGUGUCAAACUUGGCUAAGCUAUAAGAUCCAGUUAUUUUUUUUUAUUUUUUCAUUUUUAUUUUUGAGAUGGAGUCUCGCUUUGUGGCCCAGGCUAG